GAAGAUCCAUGUGACACUAUUAUAAAGAUGGCAUUUAUAAGAGGAGAGUGAAGACUUCAAGAUUGAAGAAACAUUCAGUGUGAAACAAGAAGAGACUGAGGAACACAAAGGCCUGAUGCCGCUGAAAAUGGAAAGUGAAGUAUUGAAUGAAAAGGAAAAUAAAGAUCAUGAAGACCUAACUGAAGAAAAAUCUAUUAAUUGAUCACAGACUGAAAAGACUUCCACACUAAAAAAAGGCUCAGAAGACAGAAACUAGAACUCUCACCUGCUCUCAGUGUGGAAAGAGAUUCAAUCUACAUGGAGACCUUAAAAGACACACGAGAGGUCACACUGGAGAGACACCCUUCAUCUGCCAAAAGCGUGGAAAGAGUUUGACUCAAAUCGAAAGACUUAAAGGACACACAAGAGUUCACACUAAAGAGAAGCCUUUUACCUGCCAACAAUGUGGAAAAACAUU